rnacentral:lncRNA from 1 species
UAAAACUAUUCUUAGAACUCCAUAUAUCAACUAAGUUAAUAUAUAUGAAACCAAGCGUUAAAAUUAACUCAUAUAUGUAAUACUUAGUUUUACAUAUAUUAGCUUACUGAAUAUACAGAACUUAAUACAUGGAGUUAUUAACUAAUUAGGUUAAUAACUGGUACCCAGAAAGUUUUAGGUGUUAUGGUCAGUUGAUGACACAAAGGGUGUUGUCACCGGAGAAUGAAUGGGUUCAGUGUGACAGGUAUAUUACACAAUAAUAUACUUUCCCGCUCAGUUUUUACAGCAGACUUGGAAGGAAGAGAGCUAGAAAUUCUAUCGCCACUUCACAGAUGAGGACAAUGAACUUGGAGGGGCUUUCCUAGGGAUCCACCACCGACACAGAGCCCAGGGGUACUGGAGCCUGGGAUGGAGGCCCCUGGCUGGGCAACGUCACCCUUGGCUGCUCUGGUGGCUCCGGGGCGCGACAAGGUCUGGGUGCGUUAGCUCUGGCUGGGCCUUCUCUGGGAGGGGGGCAGCUGCGGAGCGGGUGGAAUCCAGGGGCUUUAGAGGUCACUUUCCCUGAAAGUCUCUGAGUCACCUUUGGGAUUUUCCAGGCUAUAAGCUUUUGGAGGGUUAAAAAAAAAAAAAAAAUGUCCAAUGUGUCGCAAGUUCUGAAACCAGCUGCAAGGACAAGUUCUGUUGGCAGAGGCACCCAUCUGAGGAAUGCAGGAUGGAGUGGGAGAACCCCGGACACUGAGACCAGAAGAGAAAUGAGGCUUUUAUGUUCCAGGGAAUAGCGACAGUAACAAGUCACCUAAGGUUCAGAAGCGCAUUUGUCCAGUGCAUCUGGGCAGCAAACCGUUCUCUAAUAAUCCUCAGCAUGCUGCCUUUUGAUCGGCUGUGUCUGUGUCUUUUGUCCUUGUCAUUAGACAUUCUCACUCAGCUCCCAGACCCUAAACCCCAGCUCUGGACCUGAGACACCAUGGGUGCCCCUGAGGUGGCUGUGGAUUGACGGGCUACAUAUGGGAACGGAGCAAGUCUUCUUGGUCCUCACCUGACUCCAUUUUACAGAUAAGGAAACUGAGGUUCAGAGGGGUUAAAUGCUUUGACCAAAGUGAAAGGUAAUGAAGGGAAGACUGGAAAGUUGAAGCUGUUCCUCCAGGAAGUGUAAUGGAGAACAGCCAGAGCAUUCAGGUCGUACAGACGUGGCUUCAUCGUCCCAUUCUGCCCCCUCCCUGCUGUGUGAUUUUGUAUAGGUUGCUCAACCUCUCUGAGCCUCAGGCUGCUGUAUUGGUAAAACAGGUGCAAUAAUAGUACAUACCUUCUCACGUUGUUGUGAGGAUUCAUACAAUGUGUGCAAAGGGACCAGCACUGUUGGCGCCGCAGAGUGUUAACUACUGCUAUUGUUUCUAUUGUUCUUAUUCUCCUUUCAUUACUAUUAUUUCUUAGUAUUUUGUAAAAAAAAAUACUACCGUAUUAGUUACUUUUAUCAUUGACUAUAUGCCUGGUAUACAACUGAACUGCAAUGAAUUAGUUUCUUUCUUUCCUGGGGAUUAGCCUAUAGUAUGAUAGGCUAUAGCUGUUACAACUGGUGACCCCAGGACUGAAUGUUUGCAGGGGGUUCAUGAAGCCCGACUCUGGCAUAUGUCCAGGGCUUGAAUAAAAGAGAAGAGAUUGGGGGUGAGGUGCUGGGAGUACAUUUGCUCUCAGCGGGUGGGCAGAAAAAAAUCCCCCACUUCUGAGCAAGUGCAGAACCACUUCAUGCAAACCCACUCACCCACACUUUCCCUGCCUGGCUUUUGCAUGAGGUGGCUUCAAGAGCUCUCACAGGGGCUUUCCAAGGAUUUCUCGAAGCUUCUUGCUUCUCCCAACACUCCUGCACCCCAGACCCUCUCUCAGCCACUCCCUACUGCCUGACAUAAAGCCUUUUGCUCAAGGCAGUUCCUGUUGUGGCUCAGCAGCUUAGGAACCCAACUAGUAUCCAUGAGGUUGCGGGUUCGAUCCCUGGCUUCGCUCAGUGGGUUAAGGAUCUGGUGUUGUCAUGAGCUGUGGUGGAGGUCACGAAUGUGGCUCAGAUCCCGUGUUUCUGUGGCUGUGGUGUAGGCCGGCAGCUGCAGUUCUGAUUCGACCCCUAGCCUGGGACCUUCCAUAUGCCAUGGAUGUGGCCCUGAAAAAAAAGACCAUCUCCUUAUAAUCUCAAAUGGAACCAGGAUGUCCCUCCAAAGUGGAGAAACCGUUCUGAGGGCCUCUGUUGUCUCAUGUUUAUAAACCUGGGAGGCCUUCUCAUGCAAGAUGGGUGGGAAACUGAGGUUGAGAGGGGCGAGUGGUUUGUCCCAGAUGGGGUAGGGGCAGCAUGGGGAGAAACCUAGGCUCUGGGGCUCCUGGUCAUGGUGGGGUGUGAGGGUGUGGGAGGCGAGCCUGGGCUGUGGCCUGGUUCUGCUUCUUCCUACUUGUGCAGACUUGGCAGACAUUCUUCAGCCCGGAACCUCUAUUUUCUUACCUGUGAAAUGGGCAUAACUGUGCCUUCCUCACAGGAGCAGUAGAAGGAAUAGAGAAGAUCCUGAAAAGCAAGUUCCCAGGCACAGUGCUUGGCAUAAAAUCAGUGCCCUUUCCCUCCCGCCUCCCCCUUCCUUCUGAAAAUGAACAAAGGCUUUGGAAUCACACAGACUGGGGUUCACCUCCUGUGUGGACUUGGGCAAAGUAUUCACCUUGGUGGGGGGUCUUGAUUUUUUCUUCUUUAUAAGAUGGUAACAGGAAUGGCCAUAUUGAGGGGUCUUUGAGGAGACUGUGGGGAGAGGAGAGAUGUCGCACAGGAGGCCCUUCUAGACAAAGCUGCACUUUUUUCCUGCCUCCUCUCUCUGGGACCUGCUCCACAGAUUCGGGCCUGGCCCCAAGCUGCAGGGGCAGGAGAGAGGGACGUCUGUGCUUCCUUCUUGUUGGGCUCAGAGCGUGCAGCUCCGGGCUGGGCAGGCAUGGGUUCAGCCAGCAGGGCUGAUGGCUCUGGGUACAGCAAUGGUCCCUCCCUCCCAGCCCUUGGGCCACUUCAGGACAUGGAUCCUUGGGCAGGGGCUGGGGUUGGGGGUGGGGGUGUGUGGGGGAGUCAAACCCAAAGAGGGUCACAGCAGCAGCUUCCAAAGGGGGUGCUGGAGACCAGGACACGUAAAUAACCCCAAGGAGACAGGCCUUGGCAUCCCUUCCUGGUCAGGAGUAAACAUGACGUUAUUCAGAGAGACACUGAGGUUUUAAACCACUUCAUAUUUAAUCAGCCAUCCCUCCCCCUUCCAACAGCUCCCUUCCAGGAAAAACAUCGCUUGAGCUUUUGACACGAAACAAAGCUUUCUGAAAACUUGCGCACACAGCCCAGGCCUCGAGGGACAGACUUGUGGCCAGGUUUUGAGCCAGAGGUGGCGCCAAUCUAGGACACUGGGGCCCAAGCAACACACAUCUGUCUGGUGUUCCUGUUGUCCUGAGGGGCCGAGGUGGAAGGUUCAGGAGCAGAGGGGUGGACCUGGACCGUGGAGAAGACUGGCCUGUGUUCUAAUCCCACGUCUUCCUUCUAGGACUGUGUGUCCUUCAGCAAGAGGCGUAACCCUUGGGAGCCUCGUAAAUGUUCUUAAAUGUACAUGAGGAAUACGUGUGCCGCCGUGGAAGGUUGUGCUGACAUUCCCAUCAAAUACACCGAUGGAUAAGGCUGAGUUGUGUGAAACUGCCCCUUUUGAAGCUCAAAAAGGGUUGACUAUGAGCAAUUUCCUCAUAAAGUGCCUGGCCCAUUUGAGUCCUCUCCAAACGGGGUUACAUAUGUACACAGUGAGUCUCAAGCCUUAGUAAGAAGUGGGGAGGGGGCAUAAGGUGUGUGUGCAAAAUGCCUGAUUCAGAAGAGCUGUGUGGGCUCUAGGACUCUGCCCUUCACAGGUAGUUCAUCCCCACGCCAGGUGAUGUGGGUGAGGUGAUGCUCAGCCGAGCGGAGCUUUGAAUAAAGAAAACCAGGAGAUGGGGCAGAGAACAGGACAGAAAACAGCAGGUCCUUUUUCCAACCCCUUGUCUUCUUUUCUUUGCUGUUGUUGGGUAACAGGAUUCCCUUAGGUGUCUCUCUCUCCGUGUGUGUGUGUGUGUGUGUGCGCGCGCGUGUGUGUGUGUAAAAGAGAGAGAGAGAGAGAGAGAGGUUGAGAAUCACUCUGAUUACAUUAAAACCCUAACCCUAACAUUUGGAGCCUGUCUCUUCCCCCACCCCCUUAUUUUUGGCCACACCCACAGCAUACGGAUGUUCUGGAGCCAGGGUUGCACCUGCACCAUGGCAGCAACCUGAGCCACAGCAGUGACAAUGCUGGAUUCUUCACCUGCUGAGCCACCAGGGAACUCCCCUUCUCCCCUUUGAAUUGCCAAUAUCCUAAAUCUUUGCACCACUUUAAGGUGGGUGCUUGGUCUGCACGAGUUUUACCCUUCGUAGCUGCCUCUAAUAUUCUAAUAUUCCGGACACCAUUUAAGCUGUUUUCAAAAUGUCCUUAAAGGCGGGAGCAAGAGGAGUGAGCCAGUGGGGAAAUGUCUGCAUACGACUUGGAAGGGUGUCAGGAGCUCUGGAUCCUGCCGCCUUGGGUGUCAGGUGGGGAAGACAGCUCCGCCCAAGGUCAUGAGAUGUGAGCUGGGGCAGAGGUGGAACGUGAGCUCAAGUGCUCAGGGGCUAAACAUGCUAAUCUUUACCUUAGUCUCCUUAUUGCUGUUGUGACUUAACAAACCCAGGUCAGCAGCCGCUGAGGUGCCUUAGCGUGAACCUACAUGACUUAUGCUAAGUGCUCCUUCUGGAUAAAAUUCCACCGCACACACGCACACACGCCGCUGCCAGGGAAAGCGGCCCUAUUCAUGAUCUGUUCUUUCACACUCCACAGAGAUCAGCCGCCCUGAGGGUGUGGCAACGAUGGACACAUGGUCCACCCUCGUGAAAUCCACAGCCUUGGAGUUCCCCGUGUGAACAAUCCUAAGAGCUAUAAGGUAAAUGUGGUGGCACUUUGAGAACGUGUGAAAGGGAGGCCAGCUCUUGUCAAGGCUGGGGAGCUUGCCUGCUCCUUCCUUUCUGUUGGGAACCUGGUCAUGAGUCCAGGCUCCAAAGAUACGUGCAGAUGUGUGGGAAUCCAUGCUGGUGCCACACACCAUGCUGGUCUUGAUCGCUGUCGCUACAGAUCUAGAAGAAAGGAUGAUGAGGCCAGGAGGAGCACUGGUGCUUAAGCCAAGGUCAAGUUGUCCUCACGCGUUGCUGGGGAGGCACGUCUCCAUUUCACCCACCAGGAAGGGAGCUCUGAGACUCUGCCUGUGUUACAUGAUCUUUGUUUUUGUUGUCGUUCUUGGUUUUGCUUUUUAGGGUUGCACCCGCAACGUAUGGAGGUUUCCAGGCGAGGUGUCUAAUCAGAGCUGCAGCUGCCAGCCUAUGCCACAGCCACAGCAACGUGGGAUCCAAGCCACGUCUUGCAGCCUAUACCACAGCUCAUGGCAAGGCCAGAUCCUUAAUCCAUAGAGCAAGGCCAGGGUUCAAACCUGCAUCCUCAUGGAUACUAGUUGGGGUUUUAACCUGCUGAGACGUAAUGGGAACUCCCUGUAUUGCUUGGUCUUGAGCUCUGUGUUCAUUUCUGCACAGCAGAGACAGUAAGAAUCUUUACCUCACAGGGGCCGUGAGAAUGAAACGGGAUAACAUGUGCAGGUGGCCGGCUGCAGGUCUCAUCGGCAGGGCCUGACGAAUACUUUCGUGUUUCCUCCAGGACAUGCGCUCCACACAACUUAGGCACCAUGUGGCAUGGGCUGGGCUUCAGCCAGGUGUGUGUGACUCCCAGUCUGGACACCCGUCAUCCCCACUAUACCAUGAGCUCUCCUCAGGAUCCCUGGUGGGAAGGUCUAGGAGACCUUAACUUUAUGCCUUGAAUUUGAACUUCAUUUGGGAGAUGCUGGGGAUCCACUCAGGCUCUUUGAGCUGGGGGGCAUGUGACAAAGCUGCUUUUAGGUGAUGAAUGAUGGGGAUAAAUAAGGUGCUUGAAGAGGGGCUGAGACCUAGAGGUCAAGAGAUUCUUUUACGUUGGCUGCUCUGUGAAUUCCACUCUAGGCGAAUGCUCCACUCCUGAACCGAGGCAGAGACGGCUGGGAAGGACAGAUAGGACAGUGGUCAUCUUCCCACCAAAGCGUUUCAUGGUUGUGUAAUUUAGUCCCGGUUCUAGCUGAAUUUAUGGGAUGCAUCGGCUGCCCCCACAGCAUCUGCCUCCGUGUCGCAUGCUGCCAUGCCGGCUGGUGAUGACCCCCUCUCACCCUUUGAAGAAGGCAGUGGCUUCAGAUGCCCAAUUUAAAUGGCUACCACCCAACAUUAAAGUGGUAGUCACGCUGCCAGUCAUCCAUCAGGAGUAAUGUUGUAUUUGCUCUUCAUGGUGGGAACUUUCCAGCUAUUACCUCUCAUUCUCUCAGCAACCCUGAAAACUGGGUAUUAUCAUUUGUGCUUUAUAGAAAAGGAAGCUGAAGCCCCAAGGUUCCUUUAAACAACAUGCCGAGGAAACACAGUUUACUAAGUGAAAGAUGUAGACAAGGAACCUAGCCUGCUCAGAGGGUGAAACCUGUUGCUUUCUUCUAAAUCUCUUUUUGUAGAUGAUCUGUUUUUCCAGAUGAGGAAACUGAGGCUGAAAAGAGCUGGGUGAAUUGCCCACAAUCAUGCAGCUAGUACAAUAGCUAAAGAACAGCUAAUUACAGAAUGUUUACUCUGGCCCAGGCAGUGGGCCAUUAAAUGAGACAGUGACUAUCUCAUUUAAUCCACAUAACAGCUGGUCUUAUGUCACAAACAAAUGCCAGAACUGGCAUUUGUGAUCAGGUCUACUCGCCUUUGGAGUUUUCAACUACCGGAUUCUGCUGUAAGGAGACUGCUAGGGGUUGAUAUAAAUCCCAAGACUUCAAAGGAGGAAAGGUCAUGGUGGCUAAGAAGAUACCUAAUCAGAAUAUCUGGGGGUGAAGCUGCUGCAAGCCACCUCUGUCUCUGAAUGCAGUUCCUGUUUGUUCCUAAGUGAUGGAUGGAAGUCUGAGCACUGAGGAUCAGGAGGGUCCAGCUUUAUGUCAUGGGCAUUUGAGUGAAGGACACCAGUCACCCUCUGGUGAUCAAUGGAGGUGUAAAACCCCAAAGACAUCCAGGAUGGCUGAGAUCAGAUGGAUGAAUGCAGGCAUCCAUCUGGGAUCUUUCUUUCCAAGGAAAUUGAUGGAAGAUGUGUCAGGUUUAGCUCACAGCAUUCCAGCCGAAAGGGUCAGUUGUCCAUAACCUUACAGUGUCCUCCACCCAGAGAUGACAGGCUGGGGGAAGGGUCCUGAUGGCCUCUGACCUAGUUCUGGAGACGAGGUGCUAUCUGCUCUGUAAAUACCGCCGACAUUCCUGGGAGAUGAAAGACAGCUCCAGAGGCAGUGUCGUAAGCCCCUCCAAACUCCAGACACACGCUGGUCAUCCUGGCUGACUCCCUCUUUAAGCAACACUGGAAAAUACAGGUACACAGCUGUGAAGGGUGGUGGGGGCUGGAAGGCAGCAGUUUUAUCAGAAGCACAGUUCAUUUUCCCCAUGCAACCCCAGGAGAGUCAUUGCAUUGUUGAAUUGAAAUGAUAAUUAGAAAUUCAUGGACUUGGGAGGAAAUUUUUGGAGUGCUUGUAUACCAGCAAACUCUUUUCUCUCUCCCAGGAGCCCAGUAAUAGGGGCAUUGUUAUUAUCCCUAUUUUUAUGAAGGAGGGGACUGUAGCCCAGAAAAGGUAAGUUGUGUGUCCUUAUGCCUCAGCUGCUAAGUGAUGGAGCAAGGUCUUAUGUCCAGGGCUCCUAACUCUAGCUCACAUUUUUCUUACCCUCUGGCUGCCUCCACCAUCCCUUGGGUCGAUAGACAGUUAUCCCAACUCUGCCUGGACAUCCAACAUGGACCAUUCCAGGGUUGGAGAGCUAUCGUCUAGUGUUAAAAAUAACAGCGACCAGUUUUUGAGCCCUGCUAUGCACCAAACUGUAUUCUAAAGGUACGUUACGCCUGAUUCUCAGCUCCACUUCUUGUGGUUUAAAUUGUGGGAUCUGAGUCUCAUAGAACACGAGUGACCUGCCCAAGGACACACAACCAGCAGGUAAGUCUUAUGUCAAACUCAUGACACCACACUUUCUUCUUAUAUUGAAUGGAAGUCAUCUCGGUACAUCAAUUUAAUGGAAUGUUAUGCAGACAUUAAAUUUUUCUUAAAAAAAAGAAAAAAUGCUAACUAAAACAAGCAAGAUAUGUCAACUAUACAUCAAUAAAAC